AUUUGGGAACCUGGAAGAGGACUUUAAAUUAUGGCUGUCUCGAAAACUACUAGAACUUCAAGACUGAAGUUAAAGUAUUCUUCCACGACAGGCGGGAAGUGUGACAAAACUGGGAAAAGAAACAGCGUUUUGUAUCACCAGACCCAGAACGGAGGAAACUCAGUAGUUUGGCAUAUAUCGGAGAUCGUAUUAUAGAAAGGUACAAACAAAUAAUGACAAUAAAACAUACACAUAGUCCGGUCAAAUUAGACCAAAAAGUAAAAGUGAAG